CUAAUUAAGUGUAAUACAUAAUCAGCAUUGUUUUAGACUGAGGCUAUCUGACCCACCCUUCCCCAGAUAUUUCUCGUCUGAGGCGUGGUUUGUUCAGUUACUUUCGUUUUGUUCCCUUCGUCGAAGAGAUGAAGCCACACAACAUCAACGUGUUACCAGGGGAUAAGCCUGCUUGCAGGCAACUGCACCAAAACUUCUGGCUCUCUAAAUUAAGGACGUUGAAGGUGUAAAUCCAAAGCGGCUAUUGAUUUCAACAAGAAUGUGACAAAUGAGGCUAAUGUGGAUUUUCUCACUAUCAUGAUAAAUACAAAUUUCAUUCAAUAAUUGCUAAAAAAAAAAAAAAAAAAAAAAAA